rnacentral:rRNA from 1 species
UACAGAGGUGGCAAGCGUUGUUCGGAUUUAUUGGGCGUAAAGGGUCCGUAGGCGGCCUGAAAAGUUGGAUGUGAAAUCCCACAGCUUAACUGUGGAACUGCAUUCAAAACUUUCAGGCUCGAGUGUGAUAGGGGUAAAGGGAAUUCCCGGUGUAAGGGUGAAAUCUGCAGAGAUCGGGAGGAACACCAGUCGCGAAGGCGCUUUACUGGAUCACUACUGACGCUGAGGGACGAAAGCCAGGGGAGCAAACGGG